ensembl:lincRNA 5430416N02Rik RIKEN cDNA 5430416N02 gene
UCCAUUCGGUCCUCCUUUUGUUAACGCUCUGGCAUCAUGUCUACGCCAGCUCCCGCGCAAUCCGGCGCCAUCGCGCUUUGGGCGAGCAUGGCCAUGGGGAGUAGAGAGGUGGAAACCGAGCUGACGCCUGCCUGACCCUGGCGAUGGUGGCGCGCGCCGGGAAGGACUGAUUGGAGAAUGGCGCCAAAUGGGUCACGGAUGGCGAGGGGGCACAGGAGCUCUCGAUGUGACCUGGCGCUGUGGAUGUGAUGCACAGCAGCUUGAGUGGGACUGCUCCGCUGUCCUCAUGAGAGAACGCUUUUUCUGAAGAUGGGAGGUGGCUAAUGAAAGAAGGAAUUGUGUUCUCGGUGAUGCCUGGAAGAGAUGCGUGACGUUGGAAGAUGAUUACGAAAUACAGGAAAGGUAGAGUCAUUUGUUUUGUAUAUAUUAAAUAUUCUGAGUGAUACAGUCUGGGAAAGAUUAUGAAGUAAAGACUGGAAUCCUAAAGGCUUUGGUGAAAUCUUAAUUACCUAUUUUCGGGGUGGCAGAGAACUUUUAUUUAGACAAUCAUUGUGUCCUUGUUGGUGUGGAGGUCAGAGGACGACUUGGAAGUUUCUCCAACCCAGGCCUCCUGUCUUAACGACAGGCCUUUGUGUGUGUGGGUGUUUUGUCUGCACCGUGUGCAUACAUGGUGCCUGAGAAGGCUGUAAGGGGGCAUCAGAUCCCCUGCCACUGCAGUUGGAGAGUGAAGCUGCCAUGUGUGUGCUAUGAAUCGGACCCCAGUCCUCUUAACUCUUAAGCAGUCUGUCUUAGUCAGGGUUUCUAUUCCUGGACAAACAUCAUGACCAAGAAGCAAGUUGGGAAGGAAAGGGUUUAUUCGGCUUACACUUUUCCACAUUGCUGUUCAUCACCAAAGGAAGUCAGGACUGGAACUCAAGCAGGUCAGAAAGCAGGAGCUGAUGCAGAGACCAUGGAGGGAUAUUACUCACUGGCUUGCUCANNNNNNGCCUGCUCUCUUAUAGAACCAAGACUACCAGCCCAGAGAUGGUCCCACCCACAAGGGGCCUCUCCCCCUUGAUCACUGAUUGAGAAAAUGCUUUACAGCUGGAUCUCAUGGAGGCAUUUCCUCAACUGAAGCUCCUUCACCAAUAGCCUCUCAUAGGCUCUCUUUAUGGUGCCAAGCCUCAACCCCUUUGCAUGACCCCUUCAGUCCUGGGCCAUCAAUUGCAACUGAGGCUGCACCUUCACCAAUGGCCUUCCAUGGCCUCUCACAGUGCCGAGCCUUANNNNNNNNNNNNNNNNNNNNNNNNNNNNNNNNNNNNNACCAAGUCCAGCCACAGCACAAGGUACAACCUUGGCUAUCUCUGGAACACAGCCUCUGUGCUCUCAGAAAACCCUUCCCAGAAGAUUUCACCUCAGUGAUGCUGGUCUCUUCUUAAUCACCGCUAAUUUCUUAGCUCCAGUUAACCAGCAUCAAUAGUUCCAGUAAUGCAAAGGUUUAACUUUAGUAGUUCUUGUAUCUUGUUAAUCACAGCUGAUUCUUCAGAACCACAGAACCUUCACAAUCCAAAAUAGCAGUGGCCCUGAAAAAAGUCUUUAAUUUUACCUCUGAAGUUUCACAAGCCAGGCCUCCAUUUUUCUGCAAUGUUCUCAACAUUAUCUUCCAAGCUCCUACACAACAUCUCACAGAGCUCUUAACAGCGAAUGGAUCUUCUGGCCCAAAGUUCCAAAGUCCUUCCACAGUCCUCCCCAAAACAUGGUCAGGUUGUCAUAGGAAUACCCCACUUCCGGUACCAAUUUCUGUCUUAGGGUUUCUAUUCCUGCACAAACAUGACCAAGAAGUAAGUUGGGAAGGGAAGGGUUUAUUCAGCUUACACUUCCGCAUUGCUGUUCAUCACCAAGGAAGUCAGGACUGGAACUCAAGCAGGUCAGAAAGCAGGAGCUGAUGCAGAAAGCUAUAGAGGGAUGUUCCUUACUGGCUGGCUUCCCCUGGCUUGCUCAGCCUGCUCUCUGACUAAGACUACCAGCCAAGACUACCAGUCCAGAGAUGGUUCCACCCACAAGGGGUCCUUCCCCCUUGAUCACUGAUUGAGAAAAUGCCUUACAGCUGGAUCUCAUGGGGGCAUUUCCUCAACUGAAGCUCCUUUCUCUGUGAUAACUCCAGCUGUGUCAAGUUGACACAAAGCUAGCCAGUACACAGUCUCUACAGCAAAUCCCUCUGAGUUUCAGAGAUGCCAGGCAUUUUGCUGUAGUUUGAGCUUUUAUUUUCCACAGUUGUUUCUCACAGUGGCCCUGUGGGCAGAACAGUCAACUCUACUGUAGGGUUAGCGCUGUGCCUCUUGAGCAUCUGACUAUUAUCAGAUUCUUUGCUAGUUCUCUCAGCACCGUUAAUGAUGUGCCCUACUGUAACUCAUUCACAAGGUUCCUGUUUUAAAGAUUCCAUCCUUUGCCUCAUAGCUAGUAUCUUGGAGGUUGACUAUCAGCUGGCUUCUUUAAAGUGUCCAUUUCACAUUUAUGAUUUGGAUUCAGUAUUUGAAUCCAGGACUGAGUAUAAGAGCAUGCAUGUCCAAGUAAGUGGUUCCUUCUUAAAAACUGUUUCUGUGUAUGGGUGUUAAUGCCGAUGUGUGUCUGCACCCAAUUCAUGCCCAGAAGAGGGACUUAGGUCCUCUGGAACUGAGUCAGCAGGGCUGUGAGCCAUGUGGCUGCUCGGGGCAGCUAGUUCUCAGAACUAUUGAGCUAGCUCUCCAGCCUAGUGGGGUGUUCUCCCAACCCCAACUUUGGCUUUUCAAGGCAGUCUGCAUAUUCCUGGCUGUCCUGGACCUCACUAUGUAGACCAGGCAGGCCUCCAAUUCACACAUCUUUCUUGAGGUACUCGAUUUUUUUCUUGCCUAUGUUUGCAUAUAGUUUAUGUAUGUGGAAAGUUCCUGGGGCAUUUAAAGUGUUUGUAGUCAGGAUGUGUUGGUUGUUUUCCUGGAACAUUUCUACUUAAUUAUGGAGGUAAUUGAAACAGCUGGUGGAACUAUAAUAAAAUUAGGUAUCCCCAUGCCUAGUACUUUUUGGAGUGGGACUGUGGUCAAAUACUUAACAUUACUGAAGUAUGUUUACAUCUCCUCCCAAAGCUUGGUUGCAGAGUGUGAUAAGCAUAGAUUUACACAGUACUUGUCCCCUUGGUGGUGCUUCUUUGCCCCUUUGUGGGCAUUGGCUUCUCUUCAUGAGCAGGAUUGACUAUCAGGAAGUCAGAAUGCUGAUACUCUGCGGGACGUGGGUGUGUGGGAAAGAGGGGAGUGGGAGAGAAUCUGUCCUGCCAGAGUUCCGGUGCUCUGGGCAGUCAGACGUGGGAGGAUUGCUGGUCACUCUCCAUGUGGCUCUGGGUUGGCAUCUGGCUUUGUGAAGCCGCUGACCCCACACGGCAGGGAGUGGACAAGAACCUGGUACCAGGUUCUCAGUCUCCGAGAGAGAGAGACAGAGACAGACACUGACCAUGGCC